GCCGCCGGGCUACCUGGGGCCAAACGGCGGCGGCCUGAGCUUCCCGGGCGUGCCACAGGGGGGCGCCGCCGGACCGGCAACGAGCGGCGCAGAGGCGAGCUGCGCAUACCCAGCUGUGAGGAGCCGAGCCGAGCCGGGCCAAGCUGAGACGGGGCGCCUUGGGCCGAGCCGAGCCGCGCCACCGCCGCGACCCCUUGUGCUCAGCUGUACGCCCCGCGGCCGGCCUCGGCUGUUCCUUAGCGCCGGUUUGGCCCCGUCAGCGGCCGCGGGCACUGCAGCGCCGGCCGUGCCGUCGGAGGUGCCGCGUGUGUGGCGGCCACGCUGUGGCCUGCGGCUCGGCUUGUGCGGCAGCGCCUGGGCUGCCUACACCGAGCAAACGCGGAGACCCUGCAAAACCUGGGGCCUCUCCGGGUUUGUCCCAGGCCACCUGCCUCCUUGGCCUGGGUGAGUGCGGGGAGUGGAGUGUCCACUGCGGCUGGAGCUGGCGGCAGAGUUGGAAACACAUCUUGCAAAUUCCUCAGGUCCCUGGAAAAUACACCUUCAAGCUCCUCUCUGUUUUGGGAAAAGCAGCUGCCCUGUUGCUCCUUGUUCAGGCUGCUCUUGCUCUGCAGUAAUUUUCUCUGAUGUAUAAUGGAGUUUCAAUGGCCUAAAUCUAAGGAACACUGCUUAGGAAGAGGACAGAAGAGGCAAUGUAUUGCAGUUGUCCGUGGCUGAGAUUUCCAACAUGCUUCCAAGGUCAUGUGGCAAGAGAUGCUGUCCGCAGAAAUAUCUCCUCCUGAGCGUCGCACCGGCCAAGGCCUGCUGCCCUACCAGCGCCCAGGAGAUUGGGCAAGAGAAGAAGGCUGAAUCGUCCACUGGUGAUGGGGCAGGGUAGAGAGCUCAGCAGGCCCAGUCACCGGCUGGGUUGGUGGGGCAGUAGGAGAGCAGAGGAGGCUCCAGUUGCAGCUUGUGGACAAGUGGGAUUUCUCUUUGACAGAAAGAGCCCAGGAAGUGCAUUUAGAGUGACGUGCUUGGGAAGAGGCUGCUGCCACCAACCACACGGCAUAGGGACAUCCCAAAGACAGAGGGGCAGGAAUCUCUCCUGCAGCCCUUGCUCAGGCAGCCUUCAGUGCCAGGCUGGACCAGCAGUUUAGGGAAAGGCUGCAGGAUCGCUCCCUUGGAAAAUAAGAGUAUUUUUAAUGUGGAAGCAAAUCUGAUGAAUAAUAUAAGGUGCCUGGUACAGUUGGUCCUUUUACCGAUGAUAAAGCUGCUAUAAAUAUGCUGCGUGUUGUCUCGGCCUGUGAACCUGCGACAGAGUUACAAGAAGCAAGAGCAAAUAGCUUUUCAUCCCUUACUUAUUUCCACAUCACUAGCAAGGAUUAUACCUAAAGGCCAAUAGUAUAGAGAGGAGACAUUUCAUUGUAAUUACACAUUUAGGCCAACGUGUGGUUGGCUUGCCUAGUUAGCAUUAAAAAAAGGAAUAAUUGAGCUAUAUAUAAUACACAUCAGUCAAACUGUCAAGUUGCUGAAUUUAACAAAACUUAGGCAAGGUUUUUAUAUUUUUUUUCUUUCUUUUUUUUCUUUUUCUUCUUUUUUUUCUUUUUCAUGUAGACGCUUUCAGUUUAACAGCUAAAUAUUUUAAUUGAGGAGACUGAAUGAAAUGAAGCUAAACCGUAAUUCUAGUGCAGUGUAGCUCAACUGGGUAUUCUAAUAUUACCAACAACUUUGAUUUUAAGUUUUUAAUGUAUUCAAGUGCUACCCAUAGAGAGGGAAAUUAGCCCUGCAAUGGCAUUUUCUUUUUCAUGGUGAAUGAUGAAAUUCAGAGACAGGGGAAGUGCUUAUUUGGGUUGUUGUUGUUUUUUUUUCAUGGUGGGUACUCAGAUGGAACAUUUUGCUUUGAAAAAAGUUCCCUUGGGAGCUGUGAUGAAGUAAAACCAUUGAGCUAUUACAACUGGAGGUUAAAAAAAAAUGAUAGCUUCAGUAUUUAAACACUUUUAAAGUAUAUGUCUGUCUAAAAUAGAAUAGAAAAUCCUUUACAUUUGUAGUUCUCGUAAGGUUUUUUUGGUUCUUAGACUAUAGAAUCAAGUCAAGAUUUGCACUGUACAUGAAAAAAUCUUCUUCUUUUGAAUGUAUUUGCAUAAGUGGAAAGCAAGCUGUUAAAGAAAAGAAUGCUGAUUAAAAAUUACCAAGAUAAGAACUAAUUUGGCAAUGAAUGAUUCUGAGAAUUUUGCUUUCCCUUCCAGGCGAGCCCUGCUCUGUGCAGCACCUCACGCUUCAGCUGGUUCACUCUCCUUGCCGCACAGAGGAGCCACCCUUUUAAAACUCGUCGUUCCUCUAAAGACAGUCUUUGAGGAGGAGAAUUUUGCUUCAGAACAAAGCGUGUUCAAAGGCAGGGGGUUUGCUGAGAAAAACGUCAAUUAGCUUCUGUUAUUAAAGAUACAGUUCAAAACGCUUCAACAUUUAUCACCGGCUCAGAGCCUGCUCCCCAGUGACAUCACCCAGACCUUCCUCUUCUGUCUGCAGCGCGUGGCAGCCGCUCGGUUCCUUUCCAGAAACUUCCGCCUCCUCUCAUCCGGGUCUUCAUCCACCACUCUCCGCCGGCGACCUCCAGUUGGCUGUGGCGGCUGUAUCGUCUGCGUGGGCUGCAUCUGCUGCGCUGCUGCCGGCGAAACCUGGCUCCCUCAUCUCUGUCUUGGCCUUUACCACCUCUGGAGACAGGAAUGGGAGUGCUCUUUGCACUUGAGUGGAGCUGGGAAGACCGUUGUGCCCCUUAGCUAAGGGCAGAAGAAAGGAUUUAGGUACCUGAACUCAGCCUUGCAUUCUGGUAUCCCUGCAAUGCAUGGAUAAGGGAUAUUCCUCUUACCAGAUGUUUUCAUUCUCCCCCUGUGGAUGCUGCAGUUCUUUCUUUAACAUUACAGGCACAAAGUGUUCAGCCCCCAUGCCAUGAAACUACAGAAAAAGAGGUAUUUGUGUAUUUUCUAGUAAUGAUCCUGCUUCUAACAGUCACUGGCCCAUGCUGUUACAGAAAAGGAACAUGGUAGUGGGGAGCCCCACAUAGUCUGUGCUCCAGCUCCUGGGCAGAUGAAAUACGUGCCCAUAUCUCCUUCAGGAUGGGAAAAUCCAACUGUCUGGGAAUAACCAACUUUUGGACUGCUUUACCACCUCACUGUGGUAUCCAGGCCGCAGGGCUCUAGACUGUGUUUGGGACUUAAUACCCCACCCCAUGGGUCCCUUUGCCCAGCUGGAGCUGCUGCUGCUGCUCACAUUGCUGCCGCAGCCGUGGCACAGGCUGGAACAGUCUGGAAACCUGAAUUGUUGACUCAUAAUUAACCCUCUUGUUCUGGCAAAGACCCAAACCUCCGAGGUGCUUCCUUUUGACUCCAGGGAGUGGACGUACUCAGCGUUUUGUCAGACUGAGCCCUGAAUUUCAAUUGUGGCAAUUAACAUGUGUUUGCCUAACACCUCUGUCUGUCUCAAUUAAAACGAUACUAUCGUCUUGCAAGGUCGCUUUUCUGUCUAGAAUCUCACCACAAACUGUGAAGAAGAGUUUGUUCCCUCCCCUAGCUGACUUGGGUCAAUUAAAGUGGCAAUUUUGUGUGCAA